GGCUCGGUAGCGGAUGGUCUGCAUCUGCUUUCCAUUAAUGUGUUCAAAGGAAUAAUGCAGACAAAGCCUGUUCGACUCAGGUCCGAGCCA